CAAUAGCGUAUAUUUAAGUUGUUGCAGUUAAAAAGCUCGUAGUUGGAUUUCGGGUGGGACGCAGCGGUCUCGCAUUGCGUUUGUACUGCUGCAGCCCUCCUUCUUGCCGGGGGCGGCCUCUCGGACUUCACUGUCUGAGGGUCAGAAUCGGCGAUGUUACUUUGAGUAAAUUAGAGUGUUCAAAGCAAGCUUACGCUCUGAAUAUAAUAGCAUGGGAUAACACGACAGGACUCUGGCCUAUCGUGUUGGUCUAUAGGACCAGAGUAAUGAUUAAGAGGGACAGUCGGGGGCAUUCGUAUUCCGUUGUCAGAGGUGAAAUUCUUGGAUUUACGGAAGACGAACAUCUGCGAAAGCAUUUGCCAAGGAUGUUUUCAUUGA
rnacentral:rRNA from 1 species